rnacentral:rRNA from 1 species
CUGCAGCUCAAGUGGUGAUCAUUAUUAUUGGGCCUAAAACGUCCGUAGCCUGUUUAGUAAAUGCCUGGGUAAAUCGUGUAGCUUAACUAUACGAAUUCCGGGUAGACUGCUAAACUUGAGACCGGGAGAGGCUAGAGGUACUCCUGGGGCAGAGGUGAAAUUCUGUAAUCCUAGGGGGACCACCAGUGGCGAAGGCGUCUAGCUAGAACGGGUCUGACGGUGAGGGACGAAGCCCUGGGGCACAAACCGGAUUAGAGACCCGAGUAGUCC